rnacentral:rRNA from 1 species
AAUCAACGCUGGCGGCGUGCCUCAGACAUGCAAGUCGAACGAUUAAAGCUCCCUUCGGGGAGUGCAUAAAGUGGCGCACGGGUGAGUAACACGUAAGUAAUCUACCCUCGAGUGGGGAAUAACGUCCGGAAACGGACGCUAAUACCGCAUAAUGCAGCGGCACCGCAAGGUGACAGUUGUUAAAGAUUUAUCGCUUGAGGAGGAGCUUGCGGCAGAUUAGCUAGUUGGUAAGGUAAUGGCUUACCAAGGCCGCGAUCUGUAACCGGUCUAAGAGGACGGUCGGUCACACUGACACUGAAUAACGGGUCAGACUCCUACGGGAGGCAGCAGUCGGGAAUUUUGGGCAAUGGGCGAAAGCUUGACCCAGCAACGCCGCGUGAAGGAUGAAGUAUUUCGGCAUGUAAACUUCGAAAGAAUGGGAAGAAUAAAUGACGGUACCAUUUAUAAGCUCCGGCUAACUACGUGCCAGCAGCCGCCGUAAAAC